CAUUACUGAAAGACAAAAGAGGGCUUUGAGACUACGUCUCUGACGUGUGCUUGGCCUCUUACUCUUCGUCCACAUACACCUUUGUGCACUUAUGGGAGACUUCUCCCAUUUUCGUAACAAACACGUGGGAUAGAAAUGCAUGUAUAUAGUAAUGCUCUACGGAGUAAUGUACAACUUUUAACAACGGAUCUCUUGGCUUUCGCAUCGAUGAAGAACGCAGCGAAUGUGCGAAACGUAAUGUGAAUUGCAGAAUUCAGUGAAUCAUCGAAUCUUUGAACGCAUCUUGCGCUCCUUGGUAUUCCGAGGAGCAUGCCUGUUUGAGUGUCGUGUAACUGCUCUCAAUUUCAGUUUGAAGUUGAGGAUGUGGUUGUUGUCGUGAUCUCAUACGACUCAUCCUAAAUGCAUCGAGUGGGUCUUGGCUUUAUCGAUUCACACACAAUGUGAUAAGGCAUUGGGAAAGCAUUGUUUAGAAUCGAGUCAGAACCUGUUUCUAAUGGUCGAAAGACACGCAUAUUAUAUGUCGUUUGACCUCAAAUCAGGCAGGACUACCCGCUGAACUUAAGCAUAUCAAUA
rnacentral:rRNA from 1 species